UACGUAGGGUGCAAGCGUUGUCUGGAAUUAUUGGGCGUAAAGAGCUCGUAGGCGGUUUGUCGCGUCUGCUGUGAAAGUUCGGGGCUCAACCCCGGAACUGUAGUGGGUACGGGCAGACUAGAGUGCGGUAGAGGAGACUGGAAUUCCUGGUGUAGCGGUGGAAUGCGCAGAUAUCAGGAGGAACACCAGUGGCGAAGGCGGGUCUCUGGGCCGCAACUGGCGCUGAGGAGUGAAAGCGUGGGGAGCGAACAGG
rnacentral:rRNA from 1 species